CAUCGUCCAACCAAGAUCCAACGUGGGAGAUCAAUUCACGGUCUGUGUCUUGUUUCUUCUUUCACACGAACUCCCCUGCACGGCCGUCGACUCGUAUCAGCUCCACACGCUCACCGUAUCAUGUGGCCACGCCGGCCGACCGCUCAACAUGCCUCCCACCGUGCUGGCCGCAAGCUAGCCUCGGCGACUGCGCACGUUCGCCGCGCCGCCCUCCGCGAUGGCAGUGCGCGCUCGCUGCAUCCCAUGUCCGCGGUGGCCUGCUCGCUCACCGUGCAGUGCAGCCCUCUGCGACAUCCUCGCGCGCUCGCCGGCUCGCCCCAUGCCGUGCCUGCGAGGCCGCGUUGGCCGCCCGCUCGCUGUGUCCUGUGUCCUGUGCCCACGCCGAACAGCCACUCGCCACGCUUCCACACUGCCCCACGCGCUGGCCGUGCACGUACACAGAGUUGCCCGCGAGGCACCGCGCCAGGCCACCAGCAAGUGCUGCGCCUCCGCCUGGCGGUGCUCCGGCAAGUUCGGGUCCACGCCCGCGCCGCCGUGGAUGGCAAGCUUAGUGGUGAACAUGGUGCCAUUGUCAUCGGCAUCAACGAAGAAGAAGGCGUGGCGCAGGUCGUCGACGGAGAGCCGCAGCAGCAUGUUGUCCACAUUCAGCAAGUCCAGUAGUAGGCUGCUGCCUCGAAUUUUUUUUUAUUUUUAGCCCAUUUUUAAAACAAAUUUCAAUUUUGACACGUUUUUGAAAAAAAUUUCAAAUCUAGGCCGUUUGGCCCCGCCACCAUGCAUGGCGGGGCAAAAUCACUGGACCCCGCCAUGCAUGGUGGCGGGGUACACCCUGCCACGUGGCAUUUGCAUGGCACUCGUGGCUAAAGUGGGCUGACGUGGACCCCGCCGUGGAUCAUGGCGGGGUAUGCCCGCGCCCUACUUAGCCGGCCGAACGGCCAUCUUUCUCUCAUUUCUCUCCCUCACUCAGCCCGAGGGUCUCUCUUUCUCUCCCUCUCUCACACCCGAGCUCCGCUCUUCUCCGGUGCCCCUCCGCGUCGUCCUUCACCCCCAUUGCCCCGCCUCGGCGUCCCUCUCCGCUGCGUAUUCCCCACCUCGUCGUUCUCCACGGUUGUUUUUCCGGCCACCCCUCGUUUGGAGAAGGUAAAUUUCUUACAACCUUUACGUUUUCAUAGUUUAAAUAACUUCAAUUGUUUAUUUUUAAUAUGUUUAGUAAGUCUCUUGUUACGUUACUUUGUUUAGUUAUGUGAUUUGUGUUGAAUUAUUUUCGCGUAUUUAGAUGGAGGACUCGUAUCGUGAGUCGAUUUGGCGAAAAAAGGGUCGUUCUAGAGAGUUGUACCCCGAUGUGUCUUGCAAGGAUGCCCCCGUGCCUCCCGAGGAACCUAUUUCUAACUGUGAUUGUGGACAUCCGGCACACGUGAGCCAGUCGAGACAUCCGGAUACUGCGGCACGUUGCUUCUAUACUUGUUAUAGUUAUAGCGUAAGUCACUGUGCCCUUUAUUUUUCUUAUUGGUUUUUUAUGUUUUUAUUCCCAAUGAGACAAUUGAAACUCUUUUGUAGCCCUACUUCCGGUGCUUUUUCUUCCAAUGGAUCGACGGGCCGGACAAGUUUGACCCAAGAAUUCUGUUUUUCUACCCCGGCGUUGAUCAUUGCAAACGUGAGUUGUUUACUCGCUGGGUUCCGCCCCCCCUAACCCUCCUCCUAUGACGGAGGAAGAGAAGGCCGUCGCCUCUGCACGGCGGCUCGAGGAUCCUCCGAAGUGUCAUUGCGGAGAACAAGCCGUGAUAAAUCCACGGAAUGAACUAGAGUUUGUUUGUCCUCUGCGGCGUGAAGUAAGUUUUGAUUCAAUCUUAAAAUUUCAGUAGGUAUAUGUGUGUUCUAAUGUGUUCUUUUUGUAGGAUCGUGGUUUUCGAAAGUGCCGUUUCAAGGAGUGGAUCUAUGGUCCAAAGAGCCAUUGGCCAGAGCCUGAGAAGCAGGAGGAGGUUCUAGAGUGGAAGAAGAAGCGGAGGUCUAUUGCGCCUCCCGUGAUGUGCAAAUGUGGUGUUGAAGCUAGCUACGGCCUAGUUCCUUCAGGUCUUGGGAUUGGCCACUUCUGUGGCCACAUGAUCGACUAUGAUGAGGUUUGCUAGGACUGUGCACAUUUAGUACUAUUAUACUCAUAUAUUUGUUUUUGUACGCUAACUUUGUAUUCAUAUAUUUCCCGUAACAGAGCACUCAGAAAUGCAAAUGGGAAUCAUCUGAUGAUGUGUUUAAGUUCAAAGAUGAAUAUAAGGCAAGAGUAGCAGUUCGCAAGACGAGAGGUUAUCCUACAAACUACGUCACUGAUUUUGUGAAGGACCAUAAGAAGAAAAUGCUUGCAUUCGCCCAGGAGUUGCGUGUUCGUAACCCUGCGAGUAUUGCAUGGAAGAAGUGGUCCGAGGAGAGGGAAAAGGAGAUAGAGGAGUACCGUGCAAGCAAGGCUGAAGAGCAUGCAAGGAAGGCUGCGGAGGAGGCUGAGCGAGUUGAGAUGCAAUGCUUGAACGAUACUAUUGCCUCAUUAUGUGCUAGUGAGUCAUUUAAUUUUUGAAAGUGAAACUGUUUGUUUCUCUGAAAUGAAUAUGUUAUUAAUUCUUUAAAUUUUGUACUUACAGAGAUUGGAUGCACCGGAAACUGGCAAGCAGAUGUGGGCCGUGCUAAGUACGCGGAGAAUAUGAUAUUAGGGCGGGACGGUGCAGUUGGUGGCACUGCUAGCCGUCCGAUUGUGGUCGAAGAGGAGGCCGAGGCGGAGGAAGACGACGACACCGGAAGGAUAGGCGACCUCAUUCGUCUUGCCGAGGAAUUGGGGUACCCUCAGGAGGAGCAUGACUAUGAAAUGGGAAGGAUAGGCGACCUACUUCGUCUUUCAGAGGAGGGUGAGGCGUCAGGGCCGAUGCCUGUCGGUGCCUCAGAGGAGGGUGAGGCUGCAUACCACAACCAGAAGACAUCGGUCUACGACUCAUGGUGGCCAACAGACAUGACCGAGGAAGAGGGACAGUUAUACUCUCAGGCGGCAGAAGAGGCGGAGGCAGCUUACUACGAGAGACAGGCUAGUGAGGCCAAGGCAGCGGAGGCGAGCAUGGGUAAGGAGGCUGUAGUGGACGAUUGGGAGUCCGAGGACGAGUUGCUUACGCAGUGGUGCACGCAGUUUGAUUGAUGUGGUAAUGUAUGUGAGUGGCUUAGGGAUGAGACUUUUGUACUAUGAAACUUGUCAUGUAAUAAUUUGUACUCCGACGUAUUUCAAUUUGAUCGCUCCUCGCCAAAGUCCACAGCUGUCAGAAUGUUUAACUAACAUAACAAUUUAAAAAGAUUUUCUAAUAUGUUUAACUAAUAUAACAAUUAAAAGUGGCUAUGGUCUCCUGCAAGAAAGACACCGAUACGUCGUUGUCCGCAUCUACAAGACCCAAUAUACGGCGAGCAAGGUACCGAGCCGUCAACUGGGGAUGGUACCGUUUGCCCUUGUUAGUCUGGCAUCUGUGCGGCUGCUCCACUGAAGUUACCUUCCACUUCCCAUCACUCGACCGUUUCCGUGCAUUCAACUUCCACGUGCACGGGAACCCUGCCUUGCAUACUAUUUGAAAUUUUACCUCCUUGUCGGAAUGCCGAACCGUGUACGGCCUAUGAUGAUACACAGCAUAGUCCUGAAGGAACAACUUCAUCUCAGACAUCGUAUUGAAAAGCAUUCCCUUCCUGAGUAUUAAAUUUUCAUGGUUGUACAAUGAUUCCUUACAAAUCUGCAAACCCGUGUCACAAACCGCCAUAUGCGACAUGCUGACAUCCAUAUAAUUUGGAACACCGGUAAAGGGCAAGCCAGCCUCCCUCAGCUGUGUAAGCUCUGCCGAUGUAUAAGAGGGUGGUGCAACGUAAGGUUCCGCCACUCGAACCCGACCCCAUCCUUCGUAUUCCUCUCCAUCAACUGGAUACCCUGUGGCUAAAUUGCCGUGAGUGUGCGUUGCAUGAAGUACCUCAAGCGGAACUCCUGAGGGCAUGCCACGAACCGGUGCACACAUGCCAGGUGAACCUACUUCCUCAUUUUCUGAUUCCUCAGAAUCAGAGCAAACAUCAUCACCAAUCAUUUCAUCCUCUGCCGCCUCAUUCUCCUCUUGUUCAAACUCGUCUACAUCAAAAUCAUUUCUUAUUUGACCAACUGGAGGAGAUUGAACCCGCUCCUGCGUCCAAUUACCAUCCAAGUCCAUACUCUCCAUAGUUUGUUGGACCUGCACACCACAAUCACCACCGUCGUCGAAGGACGGCUCCUCAUUCUCAACAGUCUCCAACACCAACUCAGCCAUGCCUACAUUCGAACCUUGGAUGACCCUAUUGUAUCGGGACCACUCAGCUUGGUUGCACAACUCCAUCAUCACAUAGUGUGCCCUAUUCUUUCCAACAUCAAACCUACCCUUUAGUGUGAAAGAAUCGCCAAACUUCAAACUCAAACGCUCACAUAGAUCACUAAAACUAGGGGGACCAUCAAACCAUUCCAAAUCCUCAGACAUAUCCUCAAAAUGACAAUCCUCUCUCCUAACACUUCCUCCGUAAAAAACUCUUACACCGUAAUCCAUCUACAAAACGAUUUAACAUCCGAUCAUCAAAUAUACUAAAUUUUAAAUAACUAAGUACUUACUAAGUAAUAACUAACAAACUAAACCCUUAACCCAAAUAAUAAAUAACUAAAUUAUCAACUAUACUAACCUAAAUUAUCAACUAACUAACUAACUUACUAAGUAAUUACUACAUAACUAACUAACCUAAACCCUAAAUUAAUAACUCUAAUAAUAUUAAAUAACUAAAAAAGUUAAACUAUUAAAAAAACUAAUAAUAAUUGUUAAAUAAUAAUAAUAGUUUAAUUUAAAAAAAAAUACCUUCACCGGAGGCCUCAACGGAGAGAUGGGGCACGGAGCCGGGCGGCGUCCAAGGCAGCCGAGGGGGACCCCGUACCAGCCCGCGGCCGGCGGGGCGUCCAGGCGCGGCUCGGCGCGGCCACGUCCGCGGCCGCGGCGGGCUGGCAAGGGGCGGGGCGCGGACGCGGCCUGCGGGCACGGGGGCGCGGGGCGGGGUGCGCGCCGCGGCGGCGGGAGCGGGGCUGGGGCCGGGGCGCGGGGGCGGGGGCGGGGGCGCUGGCCGGGGCGCGGGGGCUGGGGCGGUGGCGGCGCGGGCGCAGGGCGAGGUGCGCGGCGGCGGCGGGUGCGUGCGCGGCGGGGUGUGGGGGAGGACGCGUUUGAAACAGAGACCGCGGCCUUAUCACUGCAGGGUGCACCCCGCCAUGAUGCGCGGCGGGGUUGCAACCCGCCAUGAUCGGUGGCGGGGUCCCCGUACCCCGCCAUGGCGUGUGGCGGGGUCCACGUCAGCAGGCUCCGCCCACCCAGGCGCCACGUGGCACUUCAACCCCGCCACCAUGCAUGGCGGGGUGCAGUGUUUUUGCCCCGCCAUGCAUGGUGGCGGGGCCAAACGGCCUAGAUUUGAAAAAUCUUUGCAAACCGGGCUAAAAUUGAAAUUUGUUUUAAAAAUAGGCUAAAAAUAAAAAAAAAUUCGCUGCCUCACCCGCGAGAAAGUCGCGUCCGAUGCCACGUUCAUGGAACCCAAGUUGGCUGCGUCCGGCAGCUAUCGUGCUCAGCGGCUGCGUCCCCGCACGGCCGCUGCUCCCUCCUAGAAAAACCCAUGUGUUGCAGAGCUCGCACCGGCAGCUAGCGCUCGCACUCGGAGGAGCCCGCGUGCUGCAGAGCUCGCUUGCCCCGGGGCCGGAGGCUCACGCACAUCGAUGGCCGUCCAAGGCCAUGGCAGCAGCAGCCCGCAGGCAGCCCUAAGCGCCACGCCUCACCCCCGUCCAUGAUCCACAACGAGCUGUGAGUCUCCCACCGUUGAUUCCCUCUUCGAGCUUCACGGCCUCGUCUUCUCCAAUAGGACCGUCCACAACGCCGCUGCCACUGUCGAUGGCGGGCUACGUUGCACCGAUACGGAUACGGCGAUACCGAUACGGCGAUACGUUGAUACGGCAUUUUCAGAAAACAAGGAUACGCCGAUACGGCAAGUAUAUAAAUAUAUCAAAAAAAUCAGAAUACUUCUAUUAAGAAUAAUUUUCACUCUAGUAGAAUAAUCAACAAAUAGAGAUGACAAAAUAUAGACAUGGCUAGUACCAUGAAACAUUUAAGAUACUUGGUUUCACACUAGCAGAAAACUAAAUAUUAUUUUUAAUAUCCUUACAGCAGAAUGAUAAAUAUUAGGAUACUAUAAGUUUUAGGCUAAGUUCGCUACUACAUCUAUUGUGUACGUGUGGUGGCUAGUAGAGUUUUAGUGUUGUGUAAAUGGACCACAAAAAUGAGCUGCUAAUUUGAUGGACUUCAAUUUGAGAGGUUAUGGGCUGGGAAGUAUCGGGAAGGUAUCGGUCUAGUAUCGACGAAGUAUCAGAUUUAUUUUAUUUAUUUUUAUUUUUCUAUUUCCCCGAUACUUCUCCGAUACCGUAUCGGCGCCGUAUCGGCGUAUCAGCGUAUCGGAUACGUAUCGCGAUACCGAUACGGCGAUUCAGAGAAGUAUCGGGGUAACGCAGAUGGCGGGGGGCGCCACCUGCAUAUGGUUGACUAUGGCCUCGGCUACGGGAUCUAGUGGUCGGGGCUGCUUCAUGUCCUCACCACAAGGGAGGGCAGCCCGCCAGAGCUGGUCAUGAACUCAUGAUCACCGGCAUGGAACUGCCACAGACUGCUGCCUCCUGCCGAAGUGGACGAAAAAUGCUAAGUGUUGCAAGCCUUUGCAUUGUAUGCGUGCUGAGUCAUUGGAUAGGGAAUGGAGGGUGGAGAUCGCAGGAAAGUUACAAUGUAACUUUGCUCUGCAAAGUCACCUAAUCUGGCUCCCU
rnacentral:lncRNA from 1 species